rnacentral:rRNA from 1 species
GACGAACGCUGGCGGCGUGCCUAAUACAUGCAAGUAGGACGCAGUUGCGAACGUGUGAGUAACGCGUAGGUAAAUACCCAUUAGAGGGGGAUAACUAUUGGAAACGAUAGUUAAUACCGCAUACUAGUAGAUGGACCUGCGUUGUAUUAGCUAGUAGGUAGGAUAAUGGCCUACCUAGGCAAGGAUACAUAGCCGACGUGAGAGGGGGAUCGGCCACACGGGGACUUGAACACGGCACAGACGCCCAGGGAAGGCAGCAGUAGGGACUCUGAGGAAAUGGGUGGAACCCUGACCGGGCAACGCCGCGUGAGUGAAGACGGUUUUCGGAUCGUAAAGCGCUGGUGUUAAGGAAGCGGUACGUAACCAGAAGGGGACGGCUAACUACGUGCCAGCAGCCGCGGUAAUAC